rnacentral:rRNA from 1 species
UACGGGAGGCAGCAGUGGGGAAUAUUGCACAAUGGGCGCAAGCCUGAUGCAGCCAUGCCGCGUGUAUGAAGAAGGCCUUCAGGUUGUAAAGUACUUUCAGUCGUGAGGAAGGUGUUAAGGUUAAUAACCUUAGCAAUUGACGUUAGCGACAGAAGAAGCACCGGCUAACUCCGUGCCAGCAGCCGCGGUAAUACGGAGGGUGCGAGCGUUAAUCGGAAUUACUGGGCGUAAAGGGCACGCAGGCGGUUAAUUAAGUUGGAUGUGAAAUCCCCGGGCUUAACCUGGGAAUGGCAUUCAAGACUGGUUAGCUAGAGUCUUGUAGAGGGGGUAGAAUUCCGAUGUGUAGCGGUGAAAUGCGUAGAGAUGUGGAGGAAUACCGGUGGCGAAGGCGGCCCCUGGACAAAGACUGACGCUCAUGUGCGAAAGCGUGGGGAGCAAACAGGAUUAGAUACC